rnacentral:tRNA from 1 species
GGAUCUGUAGCUCAGCUGGUAGAGCUUCCGAUUGAAGAUCGGAGAGUCGAAGGUUCGAGUCCUUCUGGAUCCACCA